UGGAUUAACUCCUCAAGAAGGAACUCGGCCUGCCUGCUGUGUAUCUAAAGUUUUGUGUUUAAAGCCAUUUCCCAASCACAUUGAAACAUUCUGAAACAUCAUUUGAAGCAUAAAGAAGUUAGACAAAGUAUUUGCUUUCUCGGGGAUUGAAUUUGGAUUUAGAUCAACAAAACGAUUGUAAAACCAUCAGAUGGAUAAUCUUCUCUUAACAGAGGAGUACAGAAAGGAUUCUACAGGUUGAACAGUGAUGCUUUUCUCUAAAAUACUUAUUUCCUGGUAGCAACAGCAAUAAUGCUUAUAAAACAAAUGUACCAAUUUUACUGACYCAAAUGGGCAUCUAUAUUUCAGAUUUGCUUAAAGCCUGGGUAUAGGUACAAUGAAAAUGCUUUGGCAAUAUUGUAUGUGCACUAUAGAACAGAGAAUUGUGUGACUACACUGUGUGAGAAAAGGUCGCUUCCUAAAUAGUCAAAGCCAGCAAAGACUGUGCUUCAGGUGCUAACAUUGCACUGUUAAUACUAAUUGUGGGGUAGGCUCUGUGGCUAAUUCCAUUACAAAAUCC